CUCAAAUGGGAAUUCAAGCCGCAGUAGCACAAGCUCUCCACCACAGCCGGCUGCCUCAAGCUUCUGGUGGCUCAGCUGACAACCAGCCAAAGAUUGGCCUUCCUGUUGAUCUCAAUCACAAAGAUUUUCAAGAAUGCUAAAACGUAGGGACUCUUCAGAUAGAUGAAGAACUGGAAGUGUUGAGAUGACUUGAAAGAGCAGUUUAACUCUCUCACCGUGUAGCCGUUAGAGGCGUAAUGCAAGAAUUUUGAGCUGAUUGCUCAUCAGUUAGAGGCAGUGAAAAUGUUAGGAUGUUUUUAACUGCAGGGUGAAUUUGUGUUUGUUUUAGGAUGGUUAAGAGUCCUGCACUCUCACCUAAUCAAUUUUGUAACAUGAGGCAUCUAAUUUAAUCCUUCCCCACUAUGAUAUAUGUAAAGCAUAGUUAUUCUUCUUCCUGAAACUUUCUUAGUUAUUCUUCUUCCUGAAA